AGUGAACGCUGGCGGCAGGCCUAAUACAUGCAAGUCGAACGGCAGCACAGCAGAGCUUGCUCUGUGGGUGGCGAGUGGCGGACGGGUGAGGAAUACGUGGGAAUCUGCCCAGUCGUGGGGGAUAACGUAGGGAAACUUACGCUAAUACCGCAUGCGCCCUUCGGGGAAAGCCGGGGACCUUCGGGCCUGGCGCGAUUGGAUGAGCCCACGUCGGAUUAACUAGUUGGCGGGGUAAAGGCCCACCAAGGCGACGAUCCGUAGCUGGUCUGAGAGGAUGAUCAGCCACACUGGAACUGAGACACGGUCCAGACUCCUACGGGAGGCAGCAGUAGGGAAUAUUGGACAAUGGGCGCAAGCCUGAUCCAGCCAUGCCGCGUGAGUGAAGAAGGCCCUCGGGUUGUAAAAGCUCUUUUGUCCGGAAAGAAAAGCGCCGGGUUAAUACCCUGGUGUCCUGACGGUACCGGAAGAAUAAGCACCGGCUAACUUCGUGCCAGCAGCCGCG
rnacentral:rRNA from 1 species